rnacentral:rRNA from 1 species
UACGUAGGUGGCAAGCGUUGUCCGGAUUUACUGGGCGUAAAGGAUGCGUAGGCGGAUAGUUAAGUCCGGUGUGAAAGAUCAGGGCUCAACCCUGAGAGUGCAUCGGAAACUGGUUAUCUUGAGGACAGGAGAGGAAAGUGGAAUUCCUAGUGUAGCGGUGAAAUGCGUAGAUAUUAGGAGGAACACCAGUGGCGAAGGCGACUUUCUGGACUGUAACUGACGCUGAGGCGCGAAAGCGUGGGGAGCAAACAGG